rnacentral:misc_RNA from 1 species
GUGCAUGUGAUUGCUGGUGCAUCCGCUUGCAUGGUGUGCUGUGCUACUUUCAAACAGUUCUUUUCAGAGCUAACAAUCUUGUUUCACGAACAUUAAAACAGCUCUUUUCAGAGCUACGUAGUUUCUGUUUCACGAACGCGUCAAUGUAUCUUGGUAACGGUAAUGGUUAAGGUUAUGAACGGUAAAGGUAUUUUUAAGGUAAAGGUAUCGGUAAGGUUAAAUGGUUAAAAGGUAAUGGUAUCAGGUAAGUUAUCUUGUAGCCUC